rnacentral:rRNA from 1 species
UACGUAGGUGGCAAGCGUUGUCCGGAUUUAUUGGGUUUAAAGGGUGCGUAGGCGGAUAUGUAAGUCCGUGGUGAAAUCUCUGGGCUUAACCCGGAAACUGCCAUGGAUACUAUGUGUCUUGAAUGUUGUUGAGGUGAGCGGAAUAUGUCAUGUAGCGGUGAAAUGCUUAGAUAUGACAUAGAACACCAAUUGCGAAGGCAGCUCACUAAGCAAAUAUUGACGCUGAGGCACGAAAGCGUGGGGAUCAAACAGG